rnacentral:lncRNA from 1 species
GUUGGCCAGUUCUGAGAUUUAGAAAGAAAGCCAGUUCUCCCAUAGACUCUGACUUUCUUGGCUUUGCUUCGUAGGCAAAAAGCCAGCUAAUCCUGGCCUGGAUUAGGGCACCAAACCUGUCCCUCCCUGGCCAAGCUACAAUCUUUUAGGUCUGAGGCAGGCAGAGGAAGUUAUCAUUUCCCACUGACUUGUUUCUCUGUUCUUUUUGAGGACAAGUUGAAUUCCUAAGAGACAUCUCACUAAGAGCCUUGGUAUUGGCUAGCUCUCCACUGCUGAAGUACCCACAGGCUUUUCUAGUCUGUACUUGCUCCCUCCUAGGGAGGUACUAAGUAGUUAGUGCAAUGACUUCACUGUGCCCUGUUACCUUGUCACUUCCCAUCUUGACAAGGGCCUAGUCCUGAGAGUCCACCAGCCUCAUUUCAGCCUCUAGGAAUAGCAGUAAGAGCAAGCCACAAGCCAGAUAGCUCUGGGCCCUUCACCAUGGGUCAGAAGAGGUUCCAAGGUGGUGGGUAGCCAGUGUCCCCAUGAAAACACCACUUCCUCAGAGCACUGUGGUUCCUAAAAGCAUUGUGGUCCUGGAUCUAUCUCCUCUAACAGUUGUACUCCUGUCUCUGCUGGGCUACUAGCUACCUCAGGUGUCCACUGUCUCUUUGUUAGAUGUCAUAUAGCCAUCUGGCAGCCAUUGCCUACUGAGACUUUUAGCAGGUGUACUAUAGGUGAACUGUACUGAGCGCCUCGUGCACGUGCACCUACUCCAGAGAUGUCAUCUGUGUGGCAAGAUGUUCUUCACAGCCUCAUGCCCACCCACUGACAUCACUACAAGAGUCAAGGUCUCACAUUCCACCCCAGGAGCAACUGAAGAUGUGGCAUAUUAAACACAGAAGUGUAUCAGUGGUGUGGUUAUUCAAUCAAGACAAGUGUUGUGUACACAUGGGCAACUGGUAAGGGAUCUUGGUUGGGUAUAUUGCCCUUAGGAUCCAACAUACAGCACUUUGCAGAGGUGACGACGUGGUGCCAACUCACUGCAAUGGUGGUGGACAAUAUCCCCGUUAGCUUUUUUGGGGACUUGGGAGGAGAUUGGGGGAGCUGAGCUAGUGUCUCAUGUUUUCUAAGUUGACUUUCAAUUCAAUAUAUAGCUGGAGAUGACCCUG